UACGAAGGGGGCUAGCGUUGCUCGGAAUCACUGGGCGUAAAGCGCACGUAGGCGGCUUUUUAAGUCAGGGGUGAAAUCCUGGAGCUCAACUCCAGAACUGCCUUUGAUACUGGGAAGCUUGAGUCCGGGAGAGGUGAGUGGAACUCCGAGUGUAGAGGUGAAAUUCGUAGAUAUUCGGAAGAACACCAGUGGCGAAGGCGGCUCACUGGCCCGGUACUGACGCUGAUGUGCGAAAGCGUGGGGAGCAAACAGG
rnacentral:rRNA from 1 species